rnacentral:lncRNA from 1 species
UGGGCGGGCGGGAGAAGAAAGGGCUCUGGGAGGGGAGAGGAGAUGGGGACAAUGUAAACUUAGCAAGCACCUGCGAGAGGAGCGAUGGCGGGGGUGCGGGGGAGGGGGUCCGGGAGACCUGGAAGUGAAGGCAGGGGAACGGGAGGAGGAGAGGAAGGCGCCCCUCUGGUAAGGGGAGGGAAGCCUCAGCUUCAGGUCCGAGUGGAGCACAGGUUUCCUAGGCCCCGGGGGGAAGACAGAGAUGAGGGUCUUGCCCUCUAAGAAUGUGGCCAACUAAGAAAAAUUUUCUCACCACAUGGGAACAUUUCAUUUUGUUAAGAAACCUUUUCAAAUCUAUAGCUUUUAAAAUUGCAACAACCUAUUUGUUCUAGGACUAAACACUACUGUCAACUGUGGUUAAAUAACAAACUCUUUUUGCCGUUUCUUUAAUAUAUAUAUAAACAUCCGCCUUUUUGCUAUGUACAGUUUGUUGAGAAAGUACCAAGAGCAAACCCCAGGGGGAAAGGUCUCAUAUUACAGGUUCUCCUAAUUGUUUAAGCGCCCCUGACAACAGAACUAUUUGGUUUUCCCAUCCGUGUUUACACUGUCAUCUUGGUCUCUGUGAGUGGAUUUUUUAUCUGGCUUCUUGGACACCACUUACUAGUAAACCACAGCUAAGAAAUAUUUUUAAAGCAUGGCUGGGACGCCGAGGCCCCUGGUUGAGUAUAAACGCACACACACACCGCUUCUAUUUCCCCCUUCCCUGGUGGAGAAAAAAUCUCUUAAAUGAUACGGCAUGAAAACAAAUUUUUAAAAUUAUUCAUGAUUUCCCCCAGCUCUGCAGACAGGUUAGUGAGCAAACUUCAGCCAGCUUGGAAGCUGGGCAACUUUCCAUGCCCAGUUACACAAUAUCACCUCCCCGUUUGCCUGGGUCCCAGUGCCCUCCAAAGAGGCACAAGAACCUGUCUUUAUUUUUCUUUUUCUGUUGUCUCAACGGCUGGUUUUCUGCAUUUCUGUCCUCUUGCAUCGAAGAGCUUGGUCUGCCUGUUCGCAGCUCUUGCAACACUGCAUUUAAAGUGAUUUAUGUUGCCCAAUUGACAAUCUCCUUUAAAAUCGGCUUUCACCCAGCAAUAAUAGCUGGUUAUAGUUCAUGUUUUUGCAGAGAGGUUGAUUCUGACUCAUCGUGUCCAACGCUGUCCCAUACACAGCUGAAUAAAGUUCUGGUGCUAGGAGAGAAAAAUGAGGAAAACACCUCUCCAGCGCUCUCAUGA